GCUUAACUCUCGAAAAUCGAAAAGUAUCAGUCUUUUUGGGACGGAGGGAGUAUUUUGUAAUUUCUCCUAAAUAAAUUUUUAUAAUUAUUUAUUUCGAAAGCUGAAAACUGAUACUUGAUUGGCGAAGUUGCUGUGAGUUGUUCAAUGGGGCCGAAUUCAAUUUUCUCUCAUUGUCUUCUCUUCAAAACAGAACUAACUGAUUUUGAUGUGUUUUUGAAACCGUGGAUGCAUUAUCUAUUUAAAGGAAUACACUUUGAAUGUGAAGUUAGGAAAAAAAUAUUUACUCUCCUAUUUAGUCAUCGGUUAUAGUGGAAUUUGGCUAUACUGUGGGGUCCAGUCCUCUAUCCCAUAUUUUAAGAAAGGAAGAUUUUUCUUCCUUUGACAAAAUCACAUUGGUAGCAAUUGUGGAAUUGGCCAACAAGUCAAUUCUUUUGUUCACAUAGCCGUGAUGUAAGCGCUUACCUCAUCUUAGUCGUGAUGUAAGCGCUUAGCUCAUCAUAGUCGUGAUGUAAGCGCUUAGCUCAUCAUAGUCGUGAUGUAAGCGCUUACCUCAUCAUAGGAAAUUCAUUCCUAUAAAUAGGCGGCUUAUGGUUCAUUUGUAUCAUCACCAAGAUCAUUUGCUAUACACACCAAAAUCUCAGACAAUACAUCUGAGUGAGAGCAAAGUGAGGUGUUCCAUAGACUGUGAGAAAAUAGUCUGUGAAGAAAACUAGAGUGUGAGUGAUAUUGUAGUAAGGUGGGAAAUCAAAAGAGUGUUAUUUCUUUUGUGGGUGUAGUGGUCUUAGGAGUAUUUAUACUCGUUACUACACAGUGUAAAAUUCCUUACUAUAAUGAUAUCAGCUGCUCCUCUUGGCCGUGGUUUUUUCCCUUAUUCAGAAGGGUUUCCACGUAAAAUCUUGGUGUCAUUAUUGCUGCAUUUUAUUCUUGCUGAUUUAACCAUAACUUAGUGUUCCGCGUUUAUCACUAAUACCGUGAAUAUUAUUUUGCGGGUCUAUUUUAUUCCCAACAUAUACAACGCCAAUUUGGGGCUUUUAUUGUUAAAUCUAUUCUUUGAUUAAACAAAACAUGUUGUGAACCAAGCUGGCUUCCUAAGGGCCAAUGGGCUAGAAACUGAUUUAGUUGGUAUUUUUGGGCUGAGUAACAUGCUGGAGAGUUUUAUUUGGGAUCUUGGCCAAAUUAGCAACUUGUUUCAAAGGACGAUGGAUUAGAAAGAGUAGUUUUAUGCAUAUUUUGAAACAAACCGUUUGUCUCUCUCGUCUUCUUUCCCUAAGUUUCCAAUCCUCUUUUGGUUUCCUCUUCUCAGUUUUCCAUUAAUGACUAUUACUCGUUAAUUGCUUAUCGUUUUCCUUUAUUAGUUGUAAUUUGUGUACUAAGUGGUUAUAUUAUACAUUAGUGUUGUGUUGGUUAUUUCGGGUUCGUUCCAUUGGUGCAUUCAUCCAAAGGUCUUCAAUGGAGGACCAAAUAUAUCGAACAAUCGAAGAUUCAAUUAAGGACAUGAAGGAUUCGUGGUCGAAGGAUCUCGCUAAAAUUAGUUCAAUGUUAAACGAGUUGGUUGGAAACCUUGCAGCGAGUAAACCUACCUUGGUGGAAUUUUGGUAAACCUACCCCGGUGGAAUUUCAACUAUUCUGCGGCGAGAAUCCAAAGUUAUGGAUUUCUCAGGCUGAACGCUACUUUGACUCCUAUAAAAUUGCAGAAAACCACAAGUUAUCUCUCGCAUCGUCUUAUCUCGACAUUAAAGCUUUGACGUGGUACCGAUGGCUUUUCCAAAACAAGCAAUUGACAGAGUGGAAACAUUUUGCUGCAAAAGUGUUGAUUCGCUUUCGUAAAUGGUAUCUCGUAUUGCCAAAGUUCACUUGGACAAUCUCCAGCAGGUAACCUCCGUGACUGAGUACCCAAGUCGUUUUAAGGUUGUUUCGUCGGGCUUCGAUGAGUCAUAUUUACUUCGCCAUGCGUUGCACAUAUUCAUCUACAAUGGAGUAUUAUAAUCAACUCACCUUUUCUUCAAAAUUAUGAUGAGCAAUCUGAAUCCAAAAGCAAAAUGAAUGCGAUCAAGGUGUUCGACGAAAGGUUAACUAGUGCUGCCCUACAGUAUUUGCCGAGGUGCAAUUAGAUACUCCAUUCGAAAUGCUUGAUAAAGAAGCACCAGGUCCUGACCGUAGCGAAGUCCAACCAUUCGAUGCAUGUCCUCAACGAGAUAUGCCAAAUAGGAAGUUGGGUACUCCUAUCGCCCUUGUCCUUCCCAACAAAUAGAUGGUGCUCACUGCUAUGAUGUGAAUGAGAAGUCUCAAAGAAGACAAUGGGCUUUCUAAGGGACGGAUGACGUGUUUUGUUCUCAGCUACACUAAGGUGAUAUUCUACUGUAAUUCUCGAAUUCCCUGUCUUUUCUACUAAUCAGUUGGUCAUUUCCCUUCUUACUAAGAAUGUGGUGGAGAUCAAAGACUGUAAAUGAUAAUGAUGUGGUAUUUGUCUUUUGCAUUUUCCUAAGAUUUUGUGGGAAAAAGGUUAGAUGCCUACCGUGAUUAUCGAACAUCAUAUGUUCAUUUAUAUAACAAAUAUCUUAGGAUA